ACGAACGCUGGCGGCAGGCCUAACACAUGCCAGUCGAACGAAGUCUUCGGACUUAGUGGCGCACGGGUGAGUAACACGUGGGAAUAUACCUUACGCUGGGGGAUAACAUCGGGAAACUGAUGCUAAUACCGCAUACGCCCUUCGGGGGAAAGAUUUAUCGGCGAAAGAUUAGCCCGCGUCCGAUUAGCUAGUUGGUGAGGUAAUGGCUCACCAAGGCUCCGAUCGGUAGCUGGUCUGAGAGGAUGACCAGCCACACUGGGACUGAGACACGGCCCAGACUCCUACGGGAGGCAGCAGUGGGGAAUAUUGGACAAUGGGCGCAAGCCUGAUCCAGCCAUGCCGCGUGAGUGAUGAAGGCCUUAGGGUUGUAAAGCUCUUUCACCCACGACGAUGAUGACGGUAGUGGGAGAAGAAGCCCCGGCUAACUUCGUG
rnacentral:rRNA from 1 species